GUGCCAGCAGCCGCGGUAAAACGUAGGGGACAAGCGUUAUCCGGAUUUACUGGGCGUAAAGCGCCCGUAGGCGGCUUAAUAAGUUGGACGUGAAAGCUCCCGGCUUAACUGGGAGAGGCCGUUCAAAACUGUAAGGCUAGAGUGAGGCAGAGGAGCGCGGAAUUCCCGGUGUAGUGGUGGAAUGCGUAGAUAUCGGGAGGAACACCAGUGGCGAAAGCGGCGCUCUGGGCCUAAACUGACGCUGAGGGGCGAAAGCGUGGGGAGCGAACGGGAUUAGACCCUGGUAGUCC
rnacentral:rRNA from 1 species